rnacentral:rRNA from 1 species
UACAGAGGGGGCAAGCGUUGUUCGGAAUUACUGGGCGUAAAGGGCGCGUAGGCGGCCUGCUAAGUCGAACGUGAAAUCCCCGAGCUCAACUCGGGAACUGCGUCCGAUACUGACAGGCUUGAAUCCGGGAGAGGGAUGCGGAAUUCCGGGUGUAGCGGUGAAAUGCGUAGAUAUCCGGAGGAACACCGGUGGCGAAGGCGGCUUCCUGGACCGACACUGACGCUGAGGCGCGAAAGCUAGGGGAGCAAACGGG